AUUGAACGCUGGCGGCAGGCCUAACACAUGCAAGUCGAGCGGAUGAAGGGAGCUUGCUCCUGGAUUCAGCGGCGGACGGGUGAGUAAUGCCUAGGAAUCUGCCUGGUAGUGGGGGAUAACGUCCGGAAACGGGCGCUAAUACCGCAUACGUCCUGAGGGAGAAAGUGGGGGAUCUUCGGACCUCACGCUAUCAGAUGAGCCUAGGUCGGAUUAGCUAGUUGGUGGGGUAAAGGCCUACCAUGGCGACGAUCCGUAACUGGUCUGAGAGGAUGAUCAGUCACACUGGAACUGAGACACGGUCCAGACUCCUACGGGAGGCAGCAGUGGGGAAUAUUGGACAAUGGGCGAAAGCCUGAUCCAACCAUGCCGCGUGUGUGAAGAAGGUCUUCGGAUUGUAAAGCACUUUAAGUUGGGAGGAAGGGCAGUAAGUUAAUACCUUGCUGUUUUGACGUUACCAACAGAAUAAGCACCGGCUAACUUCGUG
rnacentral:rRNA from 1 species